GAUGAACGCUGGCGGCGUGCCUAAUACAUGCAAGUCGAGCGAACAGAUGAGGAGCUUGCUCCUCUGACGUUAGCGGCGGACGGGUGAGUAACACGUGGAUAACCUACCUAUAAGACUGGGAUAACUUCGGGAAACCGGAGCUAAUACCGGAUAAUAUAUUGAACCGCAUGGCUCAAUAGUGAAAGACGGUUUUGCUGUCACUUAUAGAUGGAUCCGCGCCGCAUUAGCUAGUUGGUAAGGUAACGGCUUACCAAGGCAACGAUGCGUAGCCGACCUGAGAGGGUGAUCGGCCACACUGGAACUGAGACACGGUCCAGACUCCUACGGGAGGCAGCAGGAGGGAAUCUUCCGCAAUGGGCGAAAGCCUGACGGAGCAACGCCGCGGGAGUGAUGAAGGUCUUCGGAUCGUAAAACUCUGUUAUUAGGGAAGAACAAAUGUGUAAGUAACUAUGCACGUCUUGACGGUACCUAAGCAGAAAGCCACGGCUAACUACGU
rnacentral:rRNA from 1 species